UGGACAGAUUAUUGUAUUCGACUGUAUUCACGGCAUGAAAUAGGGGAUUACAGUGUUUUUAAAACGGAAAGUGAAUCAAUUAACAUAAUAUACUCCU
rfam:Nicotiana sylvestris Nsyl_contig36239, whole genome shotgun sequence.